UACGGAGGGUGCGAGCGUUGUCCGGAAUCACUGGGCGUAAAGAGCUCGUAGGCGGUCUGUCGCGUCGGCUGUGAAAACCCGGAGCUCAACUCCGGGCCUGCAGUCGAUACGGGCAAACUGGAGUACUGCAGGGGAGACUGGAAUUCCUGGUGUAGCGGUGAAAUGCGCAGAUAUCAGGAGGAACACCGGUGGCGAAGGCGGGUCUCUGGGCAGUGAACUGA
rnacentral:rRNA from 1 species